rnacentral:rRNA from 1 species
GACGUAGGGCGCGAGCGUUGUCCGGAUUUAUUGGGCGUAAAGAGCUCGUAGGCGGUUUGGUAAGUCGGAUGUGAAAUCUCCAGGCUCAACCUGGAGAGGUCAUUCGAGACUGCCAUGACUAGAGUCCGGUAGGGGUGUGUGGAAUUCCUGGUGGAGCGGUGAAAUGCGCAGAUAUCAGGAGGAACAGCCCGUAGCGAAGGCGGCGCGUCUGGGCUGGAACUGACGCUGAGGAGCGAAAGGCGUGGGGAGCGAACAGG